AAAAGAGUCUCAAAUAAGAUACUGCACACUUAAUUUAUUUAUGAUUGCUGCCAUGCACCUUCCUAAAGAAUAAUGGGACCUAUUCAUUUGUCUGUGUGACUAAGUGAUAAAGUGUGUCUGUGAUCUGCUGGUACAGACUUGUGCUUGUUACAGCUGGCCAAGAAUAGAGUUUUUUUCUGUGUUAAACAAGAUCAUUGGUAUCCAGGAAGAUUUCACUGGAAGUUUUUCAGCACUGCAGGGAUGGAGAGGUCCCUUGGAAGCUCUUCCUGCUGCUAUGUAAGGGAAGCUGCAGAAAGAUCUUUGCCAUGUCCUUUUGUAACUCCCAUAAUCUGUAAACUUGUGUGGUCAAAGUAUAGCUAACAUGCUAGAGAGGGCUUGUGAUCUUGUGACUGGACUAGUUGCAGUUUCACAGAAGAAAACUAGCUUUAUCUCCCUAAUCCUUUUGCUGGCAGGCAGGACAUGAAAAAUGAAGUUGAGACACUGUACCUAUUUAUUGCUUAAUUUUUUUCCCAUAAAUUCUAACCUUGUGGUUAAAAAACCCCCAAACAUUCAGUAAUUCUCAGAUGUAAACAAGGAGAAAAAUAAUACUCCAGAAAGCAAGAGCUUGUAAGUAUCCAAACCCUAAAUAUGUUAACACAGCUGUAUAUCAUGUGACCCAUCUCAGUUCUGACACAAAAAUAUGUAAAAUGUUUGAAAAUGUCCAUAGUAUUGUGAUUUUUUUAUGAUCUCCAAGUGGAACAAGAAUAAUACAACGGUUAAAAAUCCAAAUGGAAUGAAUGAACAGUUGUGCUGAAAUUACAUAAACUACCCUUUUUCUUUGGUAAUAUUUAAAAACUUCUACUAAAGCCCUGCCAUCAUAAUUCUGUGCAAGGUAGAGGCCCUGAACAAGAAGCAUUAUAUCUUGGUAUAGUAAAUAACCUGAUUACUCUUGCUUAUAACUCUGAUAUCUUGUCUGUCUUUACCUGGUAUAUUCUGAGUGUAGCUCAGUGAGUGAAUCUGUGAAUCUGGUCAACGGCUGAAGUCUUGUAUUGGCAGGUGUAAGCUCUGGCCCUGGCUGUAGCUGAUUACCUGCACUAGGCAAAGCAGAGGUGAGAGUACCAGUUGCACUCAAACAAUUUAGGAAUCCAAAUUCAUCCUCAAGAAGCUGAUCAGUAAAUCUUGAAUGCAUAAAGUGAAGAGAAAGGUUCACUGAAAUUCACAAAAAUAUGACAGAAGAAGAAAAGUGAUUAAAAACAUAUAAGUGGAAUUUAUUCAGUCGUAAAUGUUAUCUGUGUGCCAGGUCUUCUUUCAAAGCUAUAGGAUUUUUUUUUUCCCACAUAGUUAUUGUUUAGUAAUAAAUCUGAAAAGCUUCUACAAAUAUCUACUUGGCUCAAAGCAAUAGAUGUUAUGAAGGCUUCAACUAUAAUGACAAGUGCAGGAUGUUGUCAGUUGAUCUUGGACAAAAAAGAAAUUGAAGUGUCUUCAGUAACACUUUAAAUACAAUUUUAAUUCUAAGCAAUUUGAAAAUUAGUGUAGUUGCACUUCGUAAUUUCAAGAAAAAAUAAUACCAUUUUCACCUUUUCUUUUUCUUUUCUUCAUUUUUUUCUUUCUCAUCUCCACUACUUGCUCUCUAGGUUAAUUUUAUAUAUUUUUUUAAUCUUAAAAUGCAUUUAGAAAUAUAUCUACACUGAUUAAAUUAGGAUGUAUAUAUUUGGGGCAGGGACUGCCUUGAGUCAUCCAGUUGCUCAGCACAUGUGAGUGACUGAUAUUACCUGACAGUGUAACAAAGUACUUCUAUGUCACAUUAGAAAUCAUUACUUCUGAUAAGUAGAUUUACAAUAUGUUUUCCUACUGCUCUUACUGUCAUUAUGGCACCUCUGUAGAUGUACAAUACUUGCAAAAUGAAAGGGCCUUUCCUUCACAAACCUUUAUGAAUUCAGACACUUGAAACUAUAUUUCGGCUUGUCCUGCAGCAACUUUAUGCAUCUAAGUGGCAGUGUGCAGAAAAAGGCAUGCAAUCUGGAAGUGAAGGGGAAUGGCCUGAAGGCUGCUGUGAGAUUUUCUCCAGGACUCUUCUGUUAGUCAGACAGGCGGUCUCCACAGCAGAGGUCCACUGAAGCUUCACACAUAGAAUCUUUUUUAAGAGUGCAUACUGCUGUGAGUAUAUUUGUGAUAGUAUCUAAUAACUUGCAUCUAGAUGUUAGGUAUUGCUGUUUGAAGAAGUUUUCUGUUGCAAAGAAGUACAUCAUGUACUGACUAGGACAGUGAGAGAAAAAUAUGCAAAAAAAUGUCAAAAUAUGUCAAAAAAAAAAAAGUCAUUUCUGGCAUUAAGCAAAUUAUUUGGCACAAUUCAAUCCUUAUUACCAGAAAAUUUCAUCUAAGAGUGCUGCUGGUGAUAGGAAGGAGGCAAAACUCAGCAGGGUGUGUUACUCUUCUACCUCCUCUCUUGAUGAUUAAGUUGUUAAUUUGCAGUGGUGGAGACUAAGGUUUAAUUAUGUCCUCUACUCCAAAGAUCUAGAUCCUGCUAUCCUGUCUCUCAGAACAGUCAAUGAGCAAUUAGUGGCAUGAAGACUACCACAAUGUGCUCUCAGUUGUUCCUCUUCACAAUUUUUCACUUCCAAGGAACAGUUUCAUACCUUCUCUGCUAUGUGACUUUACCAGGCUUUAAAGAUGUUCUUAGGCUUGAUGGUGGCCCCUUAAGCACUUAAACAUGCAAAGUGAAUCAGUUUGAGCUCCUCAAAACUCCCCAGUACCUAGACACUUAAGCAAAGUUGGGUCAGAGUUCAAGCUAGUGCUCUGUCUGAUGAGGAUAGGAGUCUGAAUGUGGAUCCCUAAUUCCUUAGGUGAAUGUCCUAGCAAUUAUUCUUCAGAUCACUACAAAAUGGAACAGGUCAAAUAAGCCACAUCAUGCAAAGUAUGUCAGAAAUAUUUGAAAGUCACUGAGAAUACAGUGAGAAUGAUUCUCUUAUCUUGUGUUAAUGGUAGUCACUUGGGAAGGUGGAGUAAACCCUAUUACAUUUUACAUGGCAUGGAAUAAACUUUCUCAGUAAAACAUAGGAACGAAUUGUAUAUUAUGUCAAGAACAAUCCUUUUGCAACCAUUAUUUACAAGUUCCCCUGAAUUUUCUUACCUUUUUUGUUUGAAUUUGCCAAAUGUUUACGUUUUCCAAAAAUGUUUCCUCUUGAGACACAUGGAACAUUUCACAUUGAAGGAAAUAUAGUGGUCUGGGUGGAGAUGGUAUUGAUUGUCAUGUGGAAACUUGGAAAAAUUGUGAAUUUGGUUCAGUUUGAACCAACAUUCUUUUUCAAACGUUUGGCUUGGCCAAACUGAAAAACUAGUUAUCUUCACAGCUCUAAACCCUCCUUUGCAGUUGGACCCUGAUUUUACAAAGAAAAUCAUAGUAUAGUCGCUGGAGCUGUUCAUCUAUGGCACAGUGGCAUGAAAUGGAAGCCCCACUAGAAUGUAGCGGUGUCUGAAGAUUUUAGAAAUGCUGGAGUUCUGAAGAGGGAUUAAAUGAUGGCAUUCACAGUAUGCGUACUACUGGUCUUUACAAAGGCACUACUGUUUUCAUGGAUUCCCUGUCAGUUACUUGCCAAAAAGAUACCUCUGAUGCACGUCUUUAUGGGAAAUAGGAAAAAGAGGAGAGUUCUUGACUUGUUUGCAUUGUUAGCUUGGAACGGAUACAUUCCUUUCUCUAACUUUUUUCAUUUCAUGAUGUAAUGAGAACAUUUUAAACCAGGACAAACAAACAGCAAGUGCCAAGCUUUUUCCUAAAAGCUCCUUAUGAUCAAACAUACCCAUCCAUGCUUUUGAAUACCUCAUAAUUAAACAUGCCUAAAUGGAGACUUAAUUUGAACAUGUAAAUUAAUCACAUGUUAUAACAAUUGAAAUUCAUAACCGAACAUCCAUUAGCAGACAACGCCGUUCCUCAUUCUUUUGUCUGCAUGUUUAUAGUAAUCAUGCAAUAGGAUUUAUGGUGCAUAUCACCCUUUGAAAAUUAAUUCUGAAUCAACAUAGGAGAUGUGUUCCCAUUUCUAUUGUAUAGCUUUGCUCUAAAAAUGCAAAUAAUUGCAAAUUAAGCCCCAGAUGUCUAAAGAGCAGCAGGAGUAACCAUUUAUUUGAUGUAUGAUGCACAACAUGUCAUUUCUGUGUCACUCCUCAAUGGGUUAAAUGAGUUUCAUCGUUUGGAUGUUUUAGGAAAAUAAUAAACAAUGUAGCUCAUUCAAAAAACAGCUGCGUUUUUUUUUCUUUUCUUUAAAAACAAAAACAAAAAAAGAAGAAGACAAAGUUAUUUAAAAUUUGUUUUCAGUUGCCUGCUAAGAAAAUAAGUUUACAUAAAAGAAACCUCAUUUCCUUAUGAAAAAUUGUGAAUUUACCUUCUGAAGCAAUUUAGUAAAAGCCAAAAUUUUUCUGUGCAUUUAGCAACUACUGAAUUGCUGUGGUGGGCUAUAUUAAGUAUAGAUGGAUGAGAAUUAGGUCAGUGGAGAAAACACAAGCUGCACCCUUCAGAGCUAAACCUGCACACACAUUACCUUAAAGAUGCUUACAUAAUGAAUGUCUGUGUUUGCUUGUGUAUUUCAGUGUAUGUUUAUGACAGACCAUGAAGCUAUCCCCAACAGGCAUUUGAGAAAGACAAAUCCCCAGCAUAUUUGCAUGUCCAUUAAACAACAAUAGCACUUCUAUCAAUAAGAAAUGAAUUUAUUUGCUUGACUCCCUUGGGCUCAGAUUUCACUGUAGGGCCCAGUCUUCAAGUGGAGUUUGGUCAGUAUAGGCUCUUCAUUAACUUUACUAGGUGUUAGAUCAGGCCUUGAUAUUCUUCUCCAUCCGCUAGUGUUUACUCAGGUGACAACACUGCAUUUAGUUUUCUCGCCUAUGCAGCAGGAGUUCUUUGCAACUGAAACCCUGUGCUGCCCUUAUGGUUUAAACUCAGCUUUGUGCUCAAUGUCCUGCUUCCUAAUGUGCUACACAGCUGUCCUGUGCUCUUGGCUUCAUGCCAUCUUCAUGUUACUCCUCCCAGUAGGUCAACCGUUUUCACUCUGCUGUUCUGUUAAUGCCUUUUAUAGAACCACCUUUUUAUAGUGCUACUUGCAGGAAAUGCUUUUCCUGCAAUGUGUCUGGAUCAUUUACAGCCUAAAAUGUUACCAUAUGCAGCUUAAGCCUAAAGGACCUUAUCUUGCCCUAGUCUGUAUAGUAGCAUCAUACAGUCAGACAACACAUUGACUUGCGAGGAAUUUUUUUUUUUUUUUUUUUUAAAGAAGGGGCUCUCAUCCUCUUCUACUUAAAUACCUAAAUCUGAUGAGAAACACUUGGAACACAUACAUGAGAACUUGGACUGUUCAGUUAUUAACCUGGAGCCUAGAUAAUGAGGGAGAGCUAUACUGGGACAGAGUACUAAGUGUGAAGACAGGAAAGUGUAAAAAUGCAGCAAAAUGGCUUUGUGAUAAUUAGUGGAAAGGAGGUCACAGCCUGUCUUUCUGUCCAACACAAGCCUCUUAUUUAUUAUUGUGGCAUGACAGCAUAUGGCUCUGAGUUUUUAGUGGACUACUACCAUUUCUCAGUUGUUUUUGCUUUCUCUUUUCUCACAGUAAGAUGUGACUUAAAUUCCUAAACUCAAAACCCCCAAAAAUUCAACCCACAAGCCCCAGUGGUAUUUGAAGUUUAUGUAUUCUUUAACCAAAGGCCUUUGCAUAACCAGAUACUGGUACAUUCUUUAGUGAAAUUCUUGAAGCUUUGGGCUUAACCACUGCUUCUUUCAGUGAGGUGCUUGAAAACACGUCAACUAUGUAGCUGUACUGGAGGGCUGUGUGGAUGAGGUAUGUCCUUUUUCUCAAAUUGACUAAUGUCAAGGUCCAGACUGAGGCAGGUUCUUGGCUUCAGCUUGAACAGUCCCAUGGUGAUGUCAGAAUUUUGGUGUUUAUAUUUAAACAUUUUUUGUUAUUAUCAUUAUUACAGAGAAAAGCUGCAGAUUUGGCAUGCAUUAAUCUCUUAUAGAGGUAUCUGCUGGAGUAAGCAGAGAACUUUGUGAAUUUGUAUAAGUUAUUAAUUCUGAAGUCUUUACAUAGCCUGCAGCAGUGGACUUGGGUGUAGACAGGAGAAAUUCACCAAACUGGGCAAAGAGACUUGGUUUCUGAAAGAACAGAAAGAAACAAUACAGCAACAUCUUUGCUGGAAGGAGAGAUCUAAUAGUGCUUAAAUAGACUUGAGAGAGACAGAAACUCACAAAGGGCUUACAAGGCUGGAAUUAAACAAAACUAAGUGGGAUUCAAAAAUGUACUUAGAACAAAAAAAAAAAAAAAUCCUGAAAAGGAAAAGACAGUCUCCCUUUCCAUGCAAAAUCAAAAAGGAACACUAUUAAAAUGUUCUUAAAGUAUUCAGUUUCUUUUAACAACACUUAGGAUACACUGGGCAGUCCAACAUGAUCCUGUGUGUAUUGGCAAAGCAUAGUAGCCUUUUGGAUACAAAAACUUCAUCUAAGUGUGUUUCAGAUCCAUGUGUGAUAAACUUCAUUUGUUAAAUACGGGAGGUUUAUCUAUUCUUUAAAACACCAGUUGUGUUUCACUUAGUGAACCAAAAUAAUAUAAUGGCAUUAGGCUUCUUGGCUCUUAGCUGACUUCUCCAUUUUUCUCUAAAGUGUGGUGUUAAUGAGUAAUUUCAGUGUAAGGACCCUUUUGCUGAAAUAUUUUUCAAAAACUCUGAUUGCUUUUCUCCUAAAUUCUCUGUGUAAUCUUCAUUGCCUUUCAGUUUACUGUGGGAGACUGGUUGAGAGCACCUUGAAAUAAAAUCCAAGGCUGUGCCUUUUUUCCUCUAUAUUUUCGAUAGGAUUCUUGUUCAGAUAUCAUGAGUGGGAACAUGAUCAAGAAGCAUAGAGCCAGAGUCUAGAGCAAGUUAAUCUGACAGUGCUGUUCUGGGCACUGGUUCCUUCGUGGCCUUAGGCAGAACACGUGACCUUUCCACCUCAGUGUUCUUUUCAUUAAUAUAGGGUGAUGAAAAUAAUUUAAUUCCUAUCAUCUGACACAACAUAUUUGCUAUAGACAGAGGAAAUGGUAUGGAAAUAGCCUUUCUGAGGAUUGUUGAAAAUCAGAGCAUAUCCAUCACAUAUCAUUGAAUUAUUUCAAUUUUAUUUAUUUAUCUAUUUUUAAUGAAGGAACUCAGUUCUUAAUUGAAAAGGCUGAAACAUUUAAAGGUUGAAUUUGUCGUUUGGAGAGUAUUCUGAAUUUCAAGAAAACUACCCCCCCACUGUUUCAUUAUGAGAAAUAUUCUAAAGGCUUUCCAAAAGUUUUGUCUUUAUGCAGAACCACAGUCUGUUUAUUUCUUCAUGCCAAAGAUGAGGUUUGGCAGAGGAUUUAUCCCAUACCCUUGCCAACAGCUCUCCUAAGAGCACACUCAGUUAGUUUAUAUUACUACUUUUGAAAAAGGAAACAUUAAAGAAACUGUAUUUUUAAUACAGUAUAAAGGUCCUCUGAAGGCUGAAAAUGCCUCCCUCUGGCCCCACCUCCCUGCAAAGGGCUAGGGGAAGUGAGGGAAAAAGGAGUCCUACAGUCAAAAGAACUGCCUCUGUGUGAGGCCUGAGAGCUAGGACAGCUUCGCGCUAACCCUCAUUUUCCUGCAGGCUCUGGUUUUCAAAAAUUCUUUCUAAGUCUAGUUGCUUAAGUUGAGACAACCGUGUCUUCAUUUUCAGCAAGUCUGGCACUCUCAACACCUGCUGAUUAUACUGUGACUGUUUAAGGGAAGGAUUUAGAAUGCCUCCUGCCAGUCUCUCAUCCUACUGCAAGUGCACUUGGUAGAUAGAGAGGGGAGGACCCAGUGCCUUGAUCUGUCCAUCUGUCAACUCUUUGACCUUCUGAACACAACUGCAUCCCGUCUGCAGCAUCUCUGAAUGGUCGUGAAGUCUGUAGUUGUUAUGUCCACCUUCCAUUUUCUUGCUCUUAAAGUAGUAUAAGCUCUAGCUGGUGUCUGGAACACUGGCCCUAUCUCACAUACACUGAGUGACAUGACAGCUACAUUGGCUAACUUUUGACUUAAUAUGACAUUGUUCUUCCUGCAUACUGGGGAUAGUGAGACUUGAAGCAUCUUCCUAAAUAUUCAGUGGAAAUAACUGCUGUUGACUACACUGUUUCAUUUCAGCACAGAGGGUCUUUUUAACACUUCUAAAUCUUCAAUUCUGAGAUAAUAUAUAGUCAAAACAUAGAAGGCCACAGAAAUGCCUGAUUCUGUAGCUAUGUUAUGCACAGUGAGAGAGCAUUUCAGGUGAUUGUAAAAAGACUUGUGUAUUGUAAAUGUGGGGAAAAAAUGUAUAUACACAUCCAUCCAUCUGAACUCAGAUGGUAUUUUUAGAAACCAAAUAUAAAUGUCAUAGCCCUCUUCCAGCUGAAUAUUUAUCUUCUCCAGAAGUUAUCAUGUAAGUCCAUUUGUUAUCUUUAGUCAUGGGUCAAUUGUGCAUGUGCUAGGGCUGGUCAGCUAUCAAAGAGAAAGCUAAAGCAUGGAAAGUGCUAAUUUUCAUCUGAGUUCCCAAAACUAAAAUGGUAGCAUUUGAUUUUCAAAAUUUUCUUUUCUUUUCUUUAUUAAACUGCCACAUCCAGAAUUUCCUGUUCAACCACAAUACUUUUUCCUCCUAGGGGCCAAAUCAAAGAAUUUCUUUUAGGUAGCUAAAAUGUUACCAAAAUGUUAGGGAUCUUCAUGCAAAAUCUGCAGAAUCUGGUACGUGCUAAUAUGUUGUAAUAAGAUUUGAGUAACCAGUGUUGCAUUGUUAAGAUCCUUCUUUUCUUCUGUAAGUGUAUCUGUCUUAGAGAUCUGUCAGAGUUGCACCAGUGUGGGCCAAGCUACAUGGUUGGGGACCUUAAGGCUCUGCAGAGAGAGUUAUCAUUUGAGAUUCAAAGCAUUUCUAUGAUGAUAUGAAAAUAAAACUAUGCUACAAGUUCUUCAAGUAUUCCACAAGGGAGUUUUUUUAUAAUCUGCAAUUAUUUUUCAUACUGGUAGAAUAAACAUGGAAAGCUUCAGUAUGUAGAUCCUCCUGUAACUGGUCACUACUUUGCACUGAUACUCACAUGGCAAUCCUUGAAGAACUUGAUCCCUUUUUAUGCUGUAAAUAGAUAUUUUGUUUAGUUAACCUACUGAAAGAUCUGAAAGGGAAUCAAUAUGUUCUGUAAACUCAAGAGAAGGGAUUGUUUGAAUUUCUCGCUUCCUUCACAUUACAGAGCAAAAGUUUCAAUCUGUCACAUCUGCAUCAAGCCCAAAUCCUUUUAAGUUUCAUUGAAGUGUUACCUGCAAAUGUAAACUUGUAAGCACAAUCUCUUUUCCACUCUUUAUUUGGAAAACUGUGAUUCCCUGAGCUUGGAAUGAAUAAAGUCCCAUAUUGAAAAAGGUCUCAUUUCCUAUGAUAUUGGUCUACUUUUCUAACAAGGCUCAAGCUCCAAUUGGAGCUUUUCCAGUGGCUAGGAAAUUUCUAACUGUUCAGUACUGUGGAUUCCCUGAAAGCCUAGUAGCAUAUGUUUACACUGAAGCCUUUCCUUAUUAGAAGCAGUAUUAAGGUCAUUCUAUAUAUCAAUACAACUAUUUUCCUGCCUCCUGCUUGUAAUAUAAUUAUGUUUGAGGUGCCUGCUUUUAUCAGAUAUGGUUGAAAUUUGUGAUUGUGUCAAAAGUUAUUGAAGAGAUAGUAGGCAUAUGAUGAGUCAUGCAGACAAAACUCAACUGUAAGAUUUGUUUCCCUGGGAUAUCUGGCACCUGUAUUGCCAGAGAUAUCUGAACCUUUGUGGAUUUUCAUUGUCCUAUUUCUACUGUUUCUUAGAGAAGGAGAGAUAGGAGAGUUUCAUUGGAUGUAAAACAGCAUUCCCAUAGGAUAUCGGUUAUGACCAAUGGAAUAAAUUUCAUGCUGAUGUUUUGCCCAUUUCUGGGAUUGUUUUUCAUCGUGGUGGUCCUUGAAAAAUAUAUUUAUACAUACAACUGUCCUGCUGGACUGGAAAUAAGAGUAAAUUGUUUCAUUUUUGUCAUGUUUCCAAGGUCCUUUGUCAUGUCAACGGCCAAUAGGCAGGAUACAAGUGAGAUAUCAAGGCUCUUCUUACCUUCAUUUCUGUGUCUGUUUGCUGUAUUUAAAGAUGCUCCUUGAUUUUAUUACAAUAAUACUUUUCAUUUAUAAAUUUGGACCUCCUCUGAUGUGAGCCCCAAGCAUUUCCAUUUCUAAGUGCAAAAAAGUUAAUCCCUGUGUAAUUAAAAGUGGUGCCAGUUUCUAACCACACUGCCUUACCUACCCUAGUCCUUUGGAAAUGUUUUACGUGCAACAACUUUAUAUACUAAACAAGUUUGUUUAAUAAAAAUGUUGUUACGAUAACUAUAAACAACAUAUUUUUGACAUGACUAAUGUUUUCAUGAAGUUGCUUUCAUUUUCACAGGUCACUGCUUCCUUUUCCAGCCUCACAAACAGUUUUCUCAAUCAUCUGGGUGCCUCAGCGCUUGGAUCUGUGUCCUAUGAUUUGAUCUUCUUUUCAGAGUGUUCUCUCAUUUGUCUCUGUCCAUGUGUUGUUUUUCUGACACUUCUUUUUUUCUAGUGGCACUUUAUAACAAAUUUUCUCUAUGAUGAACUGUUAAAAGAAGUGAGAUAUCCAGAAAUAAACUGGAAAAAAAAAAAAAAAAAAAAGAAGCAACUGACCAAUAAUCUGCAUAGAAAGUAACCAUCCAGCCUGGAUCUCAGCUGCAAACAGGCAUAUAGUAGAGGAGCAAGAACGUUAACUGACUGAGUAUAGAAGACAGUGAUUAUAAUCCUGAAGUCAGAGAAUCUGAAUCCAAAGGAAGAGAGGAAUUCCCCAGGGAAGGGUCAGUACGCACAGAGUCUUGCUCUGGAUUACUGGUCGCUGCUACUUCACUUGGGUGGAGAACUAAGGGGUGAAGAGGAUGAGUGGCCUUUAAAAUGUCGUCUUGUGGUCAUCAAAGUGGCAAAAGGCAAUCUCGUAAACCUUCUAAUGUUGGAGGCUGAUGGCCAGGUCAAUGACCAUACAGAACAAUGGUGGCAACCUCAAACGUGGUUAGGAGGGUUAUUACUGAAAACUGAAUCUCGACAUGAGCCUAAGAAAUAAGUGCUAACUGACUCUAAAAACUAGAGGACAACUCUGUGAAUACCACCGCAAAUACCACUGGCAAGAGACACGUCUCCAAGCUGUCUUCAGACUCCAGAGUAAAUAAAUAAAAUAUUUCAGAGAGAAGAGGCCUGUAUACGUUGGCAGCAUUGCUUGACUUUGUGUGUAAAACCAAGCACGAUUUGAACUUCCACUAGGUAGACACCAACACAAGAAACUCAUUUAAACUGGUCAAAUUCUAACAAACAUUUUCUGUGAAGUUUUGGUGAGCUGGAGUUUGCCAGAAGUUUUUCCAGGAAUUAACAACCUCCAAAGACUGCAAACACUUUUUCUUCUGAACAUCUCUGCCCAGAAUCUUUCUCCAAAACUCAUAAAGCAAGAACUUGAGAAAACCUGCUUGAAAAGCAGUCUGCUUUGUAAAAAUAUAGUAGGAUCUCACUAGACUUUGAAGCAAGGGAGAACCAAAAUAAAGGCAGUGAAGACAUUACCCUCACUGUGUUUCCAAAUACUAUUGGAGAAAAUGCAAAAGCUUUAAGCAUAAUACUAGGGGUUGGUCGUUUAUCUAUUCACCUUCUUCUACUUCAAACCUACUGAUUUCUCUGCAUGAAAGUCAUAAGCUGAUCUUAGCUCAUCUCUGAUUAAGGAUGGUCCUUUGGUCCUCUUGGAUAGUCCUCUUCAUAUUCCAUGUCCCCACAGUUAGUCCUUGGUAAUCAAGCCUUGGCUUAUACACAUGCCAAUCCACCCCCAAAAAGCAAACAAAUAUAACAACUACAUUGAGAAUGAGAUAAUGUUACUCUGUGAUCACAGUUAUUGUGUUACCUUACACUUUCAGUGGGUCAGUUAUCUCUCUGGAGUAGUUAAAAAUGUUCUGUUGGCCCAUUGACUCGGUGGUAUAUUUGCUCGCUUCUAGCAAGCCUAAUGGACUAAUAUCAGUGGACAUUUAUUCUUGGAAGAGAUACACUUGCCAAGAUUUUAGGUCUUUGGCGAAAAUCAGCUCUGUACAGGAGUUAGGGUUUGUUAGAGUUGUUGUUUGUUUGUUUGUUUAACAUGAGAAGAAAUAAACAUUAUUUUUAACUUUGAAGAGACUUUAACUUCAGACACUGCCUGUGCACAGCCCCAGAGAGGACAAGGGCCAUGAGAAAUGUGAUGACAUUUGGUUGCAUAAUUUUGAAUUGAAUGAGAUUUACAUAUGUUUUUAGUACAAACAAAGCAAGAAACAAGCAUUCUUGGAGGAUACUCUUUUAGCAAAUGUUCAAAAAUUUGGUGAGCACAGCUACAUUACAUCUAAAGUCAAAAAUCUUAAGAGGCAAGUAUGUAAGAUAAGAUGAUCAUUUCCAUCUAUACAGUUAUUCAUGUUCUCUUGUCUUUUAGGACCAUAUAGCUUAACUAUAAUCUCUCAACACUUGAACUUUGAGCUACUUUGAUCAUACUUACUUUCACAGGGCAUACUGAAGAGUGGUUAAUUCUGUGGUACGUGAAAUUUGCACAAUACUUCUUUUUUCUUAAUGGAACACAUUUUUAGUAUUUUGCAAGCAAUCCACAAGUUAUUACUUCACGUUUGGUUUUAAAAUACAGUUUGGAAAAUCAAAACAAGUUUUGACUACACAUUAAUCAUACAGAGAAAAAAAUUCAAUACAAAAUAAAUUAAAGUAGCUUCCCAGGGGAAAUGUUUAAUCAGUUUCAAGUGUUUUUAAGAAGAAUGAGAAAUGAUGAAAAGCCUUUUACAGAAAGUGUUAAAUCAGUUAAUAAAUUUUUUGACUGCAUCUGCAUAAAUAGUUAUAGAUAAUUUAAACCAGCUUUCAAAGUAGUACAGUAAGAUAGGCUUUGGCAUAGAGUAGAAUAUGGCAUGAACAGAAAGAAGGUUCUGUUUUUACUUCCUUUCUUUCCUUCUUUUCCUGUUGCACAUAAAUAUUUGUAUCUCACUUUGAUCUAUCAUCAAAUCAUGUAUGACAGAAGUCUUGACCUGUUGGUUACCAACAACUAUUUGAUAUUGGUUAUGGCCACAGGAAAAUCAAAAGUAAAAUCUAGUAAAUAAAUUAUAAUUGCCAAAAAAAGAAAGAGUGUGCCUUCAUUAUAUUUUUCUUGUUACUGUUAUCCCUGUUCUGCCUUCUAAUUGGAAUCACAGAGUCUCCUUGCUUAGAAGAGGUUCCCAAUUAUAACCAGCACACAGGCAUACUGGCCACUUCCGAAUGUGAUUUUUGUUGCAUUAACCUUAAGCUCAGGCCUAAACGCUGUCCUUCUUAGGAAAGAAUAAAAUUCCUGGAUCAGUUCUGUAUGUAGAAAUCUUCAUAUCUUCUGGACUCUAGAUCUUGCAGUUACAAUGCCUUCAGGCAUAACCUUGCCUUCAGCUAGAUGCCUGAGUUCAUUACAACUCAUAGGCUGUCCAUCAGUCCAUAUGUUACUGAAUACUAUGUCUCAGUUUAUAAAUUUCCUUGUACAGGGUCAGCCUUUGUUGUUACUGAAUUAUACUGUGUCAAGUACAGUGUGGCUUCAACCCCUUUGAGUUGUUUUAUUGGUCUAAGAACUUUAUCUCUGCUGUCAUGUAACAGUGGCUCCAAUCUAAUACUGUGGAUCAGACAAUCUAAAAGAGGAGAUGCAACACUCAUGGACAUUUCCGAAGCACAGAAUGCUAGAGUCACUUAAUGCUAGAGUUACUUCCUUGAGUUACUUCCUGUGUUCUGCACCAAAACUCACUUGAUAGAUGAUAAGGAAAAAAUACAAAUUCCAAAAUAAAUUAGUCCAAAUACCCAGGAAACUUGGUAUCCCUUUGUUCCUACAUCAUCUCUACCCACAAUUCUAUUCUGUUCUAUACCAGAUUACAAGUCAAAGCUCAUCAUUACCUUCUUUUUCUCAUGAACAGAGUAACAUAAUCUUCAGUCGAGACUUUUUUCCAUAUUCCUUCAUUUCCAUGACCUACUUAUGAAAGUAAUCCUCAAUUUCUUGGAGACUGCAAUUCUCACUAAAUUCUAAUUAAUGAAAGACUGCUGAAAGCCAGCCACAGAAAUCAUCUGUUAGAAGACUUUGUACAUGCUAGAUUUGUAAGGGUCCAUAUAUGCAUCUACAGCACCUUGUCUGUGACAGUGGUAGUGAAAAUGUCUUUCAUUUCUCUUCAUCAGUGCAUUUUAUUUAAAUGCUUAGUUUCUAUCAUUUAGUCCCAAUGUUGAAGUUUCUAAAUAAUUAUCAGAAAAAAAUAACUGUCAAAAACAAAACAUUGAAAUUAUAUCUAAAGGUUGGUACAGAUGCCAGCAAAUAUCUUCUAAAUGGAAUUUAGGAUAUGGUAUGCCCUCAGAUGUAAGAAAUUACAAGACCAACUUGACUAAUUGAACCAAAAAAAUUUCCAUCAAACAACUUUGUACCAGGUAUCUAAGCUAUCUCAGGGAGUCAUGAAAGUGAUGGGCAAGGCUUGAUCAGUAUCUGUUCUGGGGAACUUAGCCUCAGAACACAUCACCUUGGCCAUAUAUUUCAUCACCUUGUUGAUCAAAGAAAAGCAUUCACUUAUUUGACAUAUCUUUCCCACAAGAAGUGCAAUCUACAGAAAAGCAACACAAAUCCUUAACUAAAUAGCCACAAGCAAAAGAUAAAACAAAACCCUCAACAUUUUGUUUCACCUGAAAUCUCUUUUCUUUACUUCUUUAUUGUCUAUGUCUCCCUUUGACAAUAUACCCUUUUUGUCUCUUUGUCUCUCUCUCCUAUAUUAUGUUUAGGUUGAUUUUAUUCCAUCCAUUGGUCUCACCUGGAAUUUUUGUAGAGAUUUACAUGGGAUUUUCAUAGUCAAUUGCAUAGUAUGAUAGGGUUUAAUGGCCAGUGAACCAUUGUGCUGUAUCUCCCAAGUCUCUGAAGAGUUAAAAGCUCUGGCAUUGACUGUAGCACAAAGGGAAGGCUAGCCACGGAUUCCAGCAUUGCUUUUUAUUAUGUUGCAGCUGUACUGCACUCAAUUCUACUUGGAAAACUUCCUGAACGAGAAUCUAUUUCCCUCACUUCACUUUUGGAAUAUGUACUGUUUUGGUUUUUGGCUCAUCUUUGAAGCAAUGUUCUUUUUGUCAGUAUUGAAGGAAUGAAGGGUAUAUUUAAAGAAUAAACUGUUGGGAUGUGUUUGGUGAUUUUGAUUUAGGAUGUAGGAAUAAGGUUCUCAAGGGAUGGAAAACUUGAACUCUAAAAAUAAUGACCAUCUAAAUUUUGGUGGAGGUAUUAUUAUUGCAUUGACUCAUAUGGUCUCUACUUGGUUACAUUUCUACUUAGGAAUGGGGCAUUCAUUUACAAUGCAACAAUAUUUAUAGUAGUUACAAGCCAUAAGCACUUUCUUCCAGUGGUUAUUUAAAUAAUGUUAAUAAAAUUCAUAUAUAGCACAAUGUAUUAACUCUCAUGCCUAGAAAACACAUUAGCCAGAAUUUAACUUAAUACAGUUCUUAAAGAUAGAUACGAAGUCACUUGUGCAAUUUUUAGGUGGGUGUAAAUUCUGAAUAAAUUUUGUGUAUGUGUAGGUCACCUUUCUCUGCAUUGAAGGUUUUCCAAAAGACAACUCUUGAUUGCUGUCUCCUCUGUGGAACCUUAACAGAGCUAAACCUGAAGAAAUACAAUGCAGUUUCUCCAUAGAAAAACUAUAGUGUACUUGUCCCACUGAAUCCCAACUGUAUUAGCUCCUCAGACUCAGGAAUUGCACUACAGUGGGGUUGGGAUUUGAAUGUAAAUAUUUUCUUUGUAAAAAUAGCAACCUGGAGAGAAAUCAGCAACCCAACUCAGUUAUAGGCUAACAUUACCAAUUUAUUCACUGCCUACAGGCAUUUAUACAUAUGUAAUGGUUUGCUUCACUGCAGUGUAAAGGUAAUCCAUAAAGCAGAACAGAAUUUUUCAAAGAAGUUGGCCAAGUUCUGCCAUUUAUUUGUAUUGUGGGCUACAAUUAUGAAGUUGGAAAGUAAAUUUUUCAACAUAAUCUGAAAAGAAAGUUGUCCCUAACGUAGGAAAAUCCAAGAAAACAAAGCUCAUUCUUCAUCAGGAUAAAGUAAGGAUCAAUCUUGACCAUAAGGGGGAAAGAUGUUCCAGAUUUCAUUAGAAAGUGUCAGCUUUCACAAUUAGGGAAUUUUUUUUGACUGAUACCAGCUGAGUUCUGUAGCAGACAGUGAGAAUCUCUGUGGUUGGAGAAAAGGAAUCAGACUUUUCAUGAUAUGUUAUAGGAUUUUCAUGUCUGUGCCUUAGAACUAGGAGUAGAUAUUGACCAGUGACAUUCACUCGUAUGUGUUUUAAAAGUAAACUUUCAGCUUUCACCUUGUACUGAGUCAAAUGACAACUCACAGCCAUUGUAACACCUGGACAAAUUAUGAUAAGCUCUCUACAGUGAGCUACACAAUGUCAAUCUCUUAACCGCAUGUAUUUAAAAUGAGGUAUUUUGGUUUGCAAGCACAGUUGCAAAGUUUCCAAAAUAAAUCCAUUUUCUUCCCUUUCUCUACUUAAGCCAUUAAUUUGU
ensembl:lncRNA